CACGCACACAGAUCCAGUCAUUGUUUCAGGUUGCACAGUCUGCGCGCGCGUCUGCCCCCUAGUGACAAAAUGGAAUUACAGACAGUUACAAAAGCCAACUUGUUUGAAAACAGGACCGGCAAGGUAGGGGGCCUUCUUAUAAUCAGGCCCGUCUUAUACUCAGGCUAAUACGGUACUACACAGCUCUUGAUCGCGAAACCAAUUGGUAGUCCUGGUUAAAGAACACAGCAUUCCUUAUAUGGCCCCCUGGCCUACAAAGACUGCAUACGCUUUGUUUUGAUCAUAUUGAAGAAGCUUUUGUAAAUACACUUCCACAAAAA